GGAAGUAAAAGUCGUAACAAGGUUUCCGUAGAUAUCCUUCUUUGAAGCCUUCUGCACAACGACUAUAACCAUGUGCACAGUCCCUGCAGGCAAGGGGGCAACGUCACCUAUGUGCUGGAAUCCACUUCUGUGGGAACCAACAGCCGGGUAUACACCUAUUAGGUUAUAUCUGGUCUACAGAUUAGGCGGUGGCGGUCAGUAUAUCUCUCUUUUGCGUGAUAAUGAUGCAAUAAUUUAUUGGUUAUAAGAUAUAGCUCUCUAGGUUAUUGAUCCAGCACUAUUGCAAGAAGGGCAGGUACUGAUUAAGAUAUAAUCGGUCGCUAUUACCAGUAUAAAUAGCUGAGAAACGUUCCGUAGGUGAACCUGCGGAAGGAUCAUUA
rnacentral:rRNA from 1 species